rnacentral:rRNA from 1 species
CCUACGGGUGGCAGCAGUGAGGAAUAUUGGUCAAUGGACGAGAGUCUGAACCAGCCAAGUAGCGUGAAGGAUGACUGCCCUAUGGGUUGUAAACUUCUUUUAUAUGGGAGUAAAAUGUUCCACGUGUGGGAUUUUGUAGGUACCAUAUGAAUAAGGAUCGGCUAACUCCGUGCCAGCAGCCGCGGUAAUACGGAGGAUUCGAGCGUUAUCCGGAUUUAUUGGGUUUAAAGGGAGCGUAGGUGGGAUGUUAAGUCAGUUGUGAAAGUUUGGGGCGCAAACCUAAUAUUGCAGUUGAAACUGGCAGUCUUGAGUACAGUAGAGGUGUGCGGAAUUCGUGGUGUAGCGGUGAAAUGCUUAGAUAUCACGAAGAACUCCGAUUGCGAAGGCAGCUUACUGGACUGCAACUGACACUGAGGCUCGAAAGUGUGGGUAUCAAACAGGAUUAGAUACCCGGGUAGUC